rnacentral:lncRNA from 1 species
CCUCCGCCUCCGAGCUGUGGAUGUCCAGGGGCUGAGUGGUGCCAAAGCGACAAGCAAUCCGCUGCUCCGGGUUUUACGAGCAGCACGAGGAAGAGCCUGGACCGGGCUGGGGAAGCUGUCAGUGGAGGCGGUCUUCAGAUGCUUUCGAAAAUGUGGUGUCUCGGUGUCUGCUGUUUCUGUUAAUCCUGAAGAUGCUCACCCGUGAGACUGAAUCAGAAGCCUGUCCCUGCCCUCACUCAGAGGAUGAGUCACACGGUGUGGGCGAGGUUUGGAGAUGGAAGCCAGCUCUGCUCUCUCCGUUGGUAACCAAGGCAAAGGCAUCUUGCUGAGAGAAUGCUUGCAAGUGCAUAGAAAGCUAAUCCCACGGUCAGGCCUGUGAAUGUUGGUUACCACUGUUGGCUAUCCUUUGCUUAAGUUUAAGUCACGGCAUCUUCAGAAUCACAUAGUUCCAAGAUACCAAGGUACUCUGUCUUCUGGUCCACAUUCCUUUGUCAUUGAACAAUUGCAUACACUGAACAGGCUUUGGGUAAAUGAGGGAAGGACAGGGGACCAAGAGAGAAUUUGAGUGCUUGGGAAAUAGCAUUGAACAGUAAGUCAGAAGGUGAGGAGGCCUCUAGAGGUGUACCUUUAAAUUCCAGAUUUGUGUUUCACUGUGUAGGUUUUGGCAGGUUGUCAAAGGCAUUUGAGUUUCCCUCAUUUCCAAUAUACCUUAAAGUGUCUCUUUCAUGGAAAACACCUAGCACAGAGUAUCCGGGUUGCUCUCAGUGAUUGGCAAGUGACAUCUUUUUCUACUAUGUUAAAUGCUCACCAGAAAAAAAAAUGUUCUGAAGGUCCUGUCUUAUCAGAUCAGAGCCAUGUGGGCAGAGAAGGGGUCAGAGAAGGACAGAAAGAGCAUGAGAGACUGUCCAAGAGCACAUGGGAACACACACACACACACACACACACACACACACACACAGAGAGAGAGAGAGAGAGAGAGAGAGAGUGAGAGAGAGAGAAAGAGAGAGAGGGAGAGAGAAAGAGAGAGAGAGAGAGAGAGACAGAGAGAGACAGAGAGAGAGAGAGAGAUGGGGUGGUGACCAGUCCUUUUCUGUGCUAGGUCACUUGCACCCGGAAGUGGCAGAUAAUGGUGGCAGGUGAUGACUUAAGCUGUUGCUAGGUCCCUGGGAGGAGCCUGGUGGAAUCACCUAGAAGCCAACAGUAACGACGACACAGACAUGGGUGUAUUAUCCUCUCUUUGUUCAGUGUAAACUUUAUUUGCUAUGUGCUUUAAGCACACGACUUUUAAGUGUUUGCAAUAAAGGUAUACGUUAAGUGUAUUGUUCUGAUUUGAUAGCUGCAGCACUAACAAAGAGAUGAAGGACUGUCUUCUAGGCUGCACAACUGGCAAACCGAAGUCCUGCAAUUCCAGGCGAGGAUUGCUGCACUUACUUGAGAGACUUUGUUCCUCCUUUGUACCUGCCACGCGCUCUGCUGGGCACAGUUGUGUCCCUGUAAUCAGCAUAGUGAAGACCAAUGGGGUAGUUUGGUCACCGUAGGAAAAAAAAAACAAACUCUUCGACGCCGAUUUCACAACUACUCAUGGAAUCCCACAAACUCUUCUUUGCUGCAGCUCAGAAUCUCUUCAACUGACCGAAUUAUUUCCGUCGAUGUGAAUUUCAAUGCCAUCCAAUAGCAACAAGAUUCAACUAAACAAAGGAUGAGCUGUCCUUAGGGUUUCCCAGAGGGGCUUCUGUCAUAACUUUUCAGUCAGAUGAAUCUGAAGAAUAAAAUUAUUACCAUCUGUCCAGUUCAGGUAGAGAGGAAACUUGUAUUUUAGGGAUGGGCUUUUCUUCUCGUGGGUCUCGUCAGGAGAUUAAAAAUAAAAGAUUCCCCUCCCCCAAAUUCCAUCACCAAGGACAGGUCAUAAUAUCAGGACAUGUCAGUCAGAGGUGAGUGAGAAGCAUAAACUGCUGAGAAGCAGAGACAGACCGAUAGCUCUAGAUGAGGCCAGAGACAGCAUGAGGAAGAGUGCAGACUAUACUAGGGAGAACAAAGGAGAAAAUGAUCGGGCCCAUCCGCGAUUUCGCGAAGCUCUUUGGAGAACUGAAAAUCACUGAGUCGAGUCCUGGACAGCGAGGAAUGUGCUUCCGAAGGACGAAUGACGCGGGAGAGGAGUGGAGUGUAAAAUGGCGUUCAAGUGCCUGUAUCAAAAGGAAGCAUCAGACAACUUGGAAAUCGAUCAAUAGUGUCAUUCAAGUGGAACACAGAACAGACAAUAACCGAAAGAGUAAAGUAGACCCAUUGCUGGGUGACAGAUUUUACUGAGGAGACAUGGUGCACGCGCUUACUCGUCCCAUGUGGGAACCCGAGGCAGACCACAGUAGCACUUGCACCAGUGUUCUACUUGGUGAGCCAGGAUGUUCUCAUUAGAGUUAUCAACAGACGUGUGGUGAGCGGUUACUGACAACAAAUAGGACCAACUCAAAUGUAGCUGUCUGAUCCGAGGGCCCGCAGCAACAGAGCAAGCUGCUCCUCAGGAAGGCUGCGACCCUGGAGCAAUCGGGAUAGCUUGCAGGCCACCGCCCAAACCUCUCCUCUGCAGCAAUGCAUCUCUACCCAGCAACUGUUUGCUCCUUUUAUAAAACUGGGAGAGACUUUCCAGAGGAUCUUCCAAGUUGUUCUUUUCCUAGACGUGUGACCUUUUCUUUACCUCCCAAGUCUCCGGAGCCUCUUCCUUUCUCCUGGAGGGAAGGUUUCAGUUCAGAGGAAAUUGCCUGACAGCUCCUGUAUGUGCCCCUUUCCACUGCUAACGCAGCCUCUGCUUCUUCCAAACCCACAGAGCAGAGGUCAUGAUGGCAUUGCGUCUGUGGAGUUAGUGCCAGAUUCCACGGAUUCAAGAGUUAUCCCAUUUCUCCCCAUUUCUCUUGGGAUUCCAAGGCUACCCAUACUUCCCAGUUAACUACAAACGUGGGGGUUCCCAAACGCUUCUCCACAGGUUCGUUAGUGGUCUGCUGUAGAGGAUACAGCUUGGGGCCUUCUGAAUGGUAGGACCUAAAGAACAAGAUAGAAAGGGCUGUAGGUAGGGCCCGGUAUAAGGCUGCUCUGUAGCCCAUGAGUUGCUCACCAGUGAGAUGUUCUAUGACCCUUGUGUUCAUCAAAGGCUCAUUAUGCAGGCAUGAUUAAGUCAUUGGCUAUGGUGGCUGAACUCUUUCUCCAGCCUUUUUCCACUCCUCGGGGAAGGUUAAGGUUACUGAAACUUUCAACCUGUUAGUCAAGGGGUUGGUUCUACAGAUGACCGGCUCUCAUCCUGAAUCUAUUUAGCUCCAAUUCUCUUCUUGCGUCCACAUUGUUGUAAAUGUGGUGCUCUGCCAGCCUGACUUUCAGCAACUCAACAGCAGCAGCACCAGGGGUGGCACUGGUUUCCACUGUCACUAUGAGGAAGACAGGAGAUUGAUCAUCAGUCAAAUCCACGGAUCUGUGAGGAAAAAUCUGUAAACACCUGUAAACAUCUGUCAACAUCCGGAACACUGCCCAGGACUGUGUGGAUGUUUGAUUAAGCUUCUGUUCGCUCACUUUUGAGCUAUUAAGAGUUCUGUUAUUAAGGUUCUAUUUAUAAGGUCAAAUGCAUUCAGUUGAUCAAAGCCCCCAGGAUUACCACUGGCAUUGUUAGAGCUCAGGUCACUUUCUGGUUCAAAUGCUGGAUAUUUUAUUUCAUUUCUGCCUCUGUGGGUGAGUGCUGAGGGAGUAAAUCUCUCUGCCGAGCAGAGAGAUGCUAUGCAGGGUCCAUGGUUGCUGUUCUUUUUCCUCACGCCUCCAGCAUUCACAUACCCGUGAUUGACGAUCAUUGUUUUACGGUUUUUAAAAUUCCUAUCCAGAGACUUCAGAUUAAUAAUUUCUAUCAGAUGAUUUCCGCUAGUCACUUUACAACACACCAGGAUAUAUGACCGGUAGGUACAAGGAAGUAUUUAUUUGAUUAAAAUCCUUUCGCUUAAUUUUCUGGUUGCCAGUAGCAACCCACAAAAGAUAGAUCUAAAACGACAAGUCGGUGCCACGAAGAUUGCCAGCCAUGUUUUAUUCUUUCCUGAGUUGUGGUUUUAAAAUAGCCUUCCCAGUGCUGAUAGCAAUAAAAACAAUUGCUGUGUAUUCUGCCUUAGACAUAUCGACAAACCAUCUCAUAAACAGCCUGGGCUACUAAUGAACUUUUCCCUGAGGCUUUUAGAUGCAGCCUCAGGCCCCAUAGACUGAAGCUAUGUCCAUAGCUAUAGGGACAAUGACAGUGUUUGUACUAUAAAAAAUAUUUUCUAAUUUCUAUAAACUAAUGCAUGAGAUCAGUGUGAAACACAGAGUAGCAGAAAUAUUUGCAUCUUUUUGAAAACUACCGUCAUUUAAUAAACAAUGUAUAUCACCUCUUUAAGAAUUUGCCUGUUCUUCUAUAAAGGAGUACUGAACACAUUAAAGGAAACUAAAAAUAAAUCCUGGGCAGAGCUGUUUGUAGACGACAGUGAAAUUUUAUUAGGCGGCUUUCUAAGGGCAGACGGAGAAGUCUCUGCAAGCAGAAAAAUGUUGCUGUGCAGAAGCAGGACAAACCUUUGAGAGAUUUGUUGGGUCUUCUAAAGUGGGACCUGGCAUACAGAAAAACCAAAACCCAAACCUCAUGCUGGUCACUGUGGUACGAGGGCAUCAUAGAUAGGCAGGACUUUUGGUUGCUUCCUUCCGUUGGAAGCUUGCAUGGGGCAUUCUGGUACGGUGGAUGCUGGGAGGAGACUUUCAGGUCAACAAAACCCAACUGAAGUAGCAUGGCUUCAGUUUCACUCUGUGCCCACUACUUUGCUCACUUUCAAGUCAUUUGAGAGCCUUGUAGUGCUCAUGUUAGUUCUGCUUGCUCAAGCAGAUGCUCUGUGACUGACCCCUUCCUGCUAUACUCAUGGGCACGAGGACGAUUACCAUAUUGGCUCCUGCGGGUUGAG